rnacentral:lncRNA from 1 species
AUCAUUUUUUAUAUUUUAUUGGCGCAAAAACAGUCCAUUCUUCGGAAGUGGUUUGGUUCUUGAAGACGUCGAGAAUAACUAUUAGUUUAAAGAUUUUUUACAUCUUAGAAUGUGAUUUAUGUUAUAAGAUAAACUUCGAAAUGAUCCUCCGCUCUUUUACCAACUCAAGCACUAUGAUCAUCUACUCAUCAAGUAUUAUGAUCAUCUACUCAUCAAGCACUAUGAUCACCCACUCAUUUAC